rnacentral:rRNA from 1 species
AGGACGAACGCUGGCGGCGUGCUUAACACAUGCAAGUCGAGCGGAAAGGCCCUUCGGGGUACUCGAGCGGCGAACGGGUGAGUAACACGUGAGCAACCUGCCCUCAGCUCUGGGAUAGCUCCCGGAAACGGGAAUUAAUACCGGAUACGACCUAGGCCGACAUCGGCCAUGGUGGAAAGUUUUUCGGCUAGGGAUGGACUCGCGGCCUAUCAGCUAGUUGGUGGGGUAAAGCCUACCAAGGCGACGACGGGUA